rnacentral:rRNA from 1 species
AGUGAACGCUGGCGGUAGGCCUAACACAUGCAAGUCGAACGGCAGCACAGUAAGAGCUUGCCCUUACGGGUGGCGAGUGGCGGACGGGUGAGGCAUACAUCGGAAUCUACUUUUUCGUGGGGGAUAACGUAGGGAAACUUAUGCUAAUACCGCACACGACCUACGGCUGAAAGCAGGGGAUCUUCGGACCUUGCGCGUUUGAAUGAGCCGAUGUCGGAUUAGCUAGUUGGCGGGGUAAGGGCCCACCAAGGCGACGAUCCGUAGCUGGUCUGAGAGGAUGAUCAGCCACACUGGAACUGAGACACGGUCCAGACUCCUACGGGAGGCAGCAGUGGGGAAUAUUGGACAAUGGGCGAAGGCCUGAUCCAGCCAUGCCGCGUGAGUGAAGAAGGCCUUCGGAUUGUAAAGCCCUGUUGUUAGGAAAGAAAAGCAGCAGGUUAAUACCCCGCUGUUCUGACGGUACCCAAAGAAAAAGCACCGGCUAACUUCGUG